rnacentral:rRNA from 1 species
GAUCAUGGCUCAGGAUGAACGCUAGCGACAGGCCUAACACAUGCAAGUCGAGGGGCAGCGGAGAGGUAGCAAUACCUUUGCCGGCGACCGGGCGCACGGGUGAGUAACACGUAUGCAAUCCACCUGUAACAGGGGGAUAACCCGGAGAAAUCCGGGACUAAUACCCCAUAAUAUGGGCUCUCCGCAUGGAGGGUCCAUUAAAGAGAGCAAUUUUGGUUACAGGAACGAGCAUGCGCUCC